GAGCAGCGAAGCCGCGAGGCGGAGCAAAUCUCCAAAAAAUGUCUCAGUUCAGAUUGCAGGCUGCAACCCGCCUGCAUGAAGUCGGAAUUGCUAGUAAUCGUAGGUCAGCAUACUACGGUGAAUACGUUCCCGGGCCUUGUACACACCGCCCGUCAAACCAUGAGAGUUGGCAACAUCCGAAGUCGGUAGUCUAACCGCAAGGAGGACGCCGCCGAAGGUGGGGUUGAUGAUUAGGGUUAAGUCGUAACAAGGUAGC
rnacentral:rRNA from 1 species